UUAGAAGUGGCACAGUGAGGGCGCACCUGGUCCUCCCUGAAGAGGCUUCAGUUCACGGUUGCAUCCCCACCCCUCAGUUCCGACCAUUUUCAGACACACUGGCCCAGAAACGUUUGUAAUUAAAGGGUUGUUUGAAAGUACAAACCCGAGCAAAGUAGCUCUGUAAGAUUUGCUGAUUGGCUCAGAAGUCAGCUUGCACCGUCUAGCUGCAGAAUAUGGAGUUUCCACUAGGGGUUGAAUCAGAGCUGUAGCCGCUGGCCUACGACACCACAGCCACAGCCAUGCCAGAUCCGAGACACGUCUUUGACCUACUCCACAGCUCACAACAACACCGGAUCCUUAACCCACUGAGAGAGGCCAGGGAUGGAACCUGCAUCUUCAUGGAUACUAGUGAGAUUCGUUUCCACUGAUCCAUGACAGGAACUCCAGGAAAUUUAUUUGGGUUAUGAUAUUCACUUCUAUGGCAUAUUAGCACUUUUUUUUCUUCAAAUCAGGGUUAGCCCAUAUCAGCUUACAAAAACCUUCAGAUUUCCAUAGGAAUGGUAUCACUUGAGGUGGGGGGGGGGCGGGGGGCUCCUAGAAACUUCUUAUGCCAGCUGUUCUACAUGAUCUUUUCUACUGAAAAAAGAGGAGAUAGAUCAGAGUUUAUGUGCUACAAAAACUUGAGACAUAGAAAGCUUUAAUUUUUCUUGUUUUUCAUAACAUCCAUUUUAACAAAUUUAAGCCAGGGAAAAGCAGGUUUAGGACAACAGGGAGGGUGAAGGAGGCAUGGUUACUACAGUUUAGGUCAAUCUGGCUCCACCCCUUCUUUUGGCAACAGUCCUCUCCCAUCCUCAAAGCACAGGCCGAAUGCCCCAACCCCCUGCCGGAGGGAUUGUCCAGGGAUUGUUCUUCAGAGCAGGUGAUAUCAAUUGAGACGAACCAAGUCUUUCUCCACCAGGUACUAAAGGGACCUGUUAGCUGUACGGUCAUGGAGCUAGAUGGAAGGGAAACUGGAGGGCUUGCAUGCUUCAUGAAAAGUCUGAUCAGAAAGAGAGGAGAGGAGUUCCCAUUGUGGCUCAGUGGAUUAAGAACCCAGCUAGUAUCCAUGGGGAUGAGGGUCCGAUCCCUGGUCCCGCUCACUGGCAUUGCCGUGAGCUGUGGUGUAGAUAACAGAUGAGGCUUGGAUCUGGCAUUGCUGUAGCUGUGGUGAAGGCCAGCAGCUGCAGCUCCGAUUUUACCCCUAGCCUGGGAACUUCCAUAUGCUGCAGGUGUGGCCCUAAAAACAAAUAAAUAAAAUAAAAUAAAAUGCAAAUUAUCUGGCCCUACCCUAGACCUACUGAUUGAGAAAUUCUGGGAGCUAGGCCAGCAAUCUGUGUUUUACAAGCCUUCCACGUGAUUCUGGUACACCCUUAAGUUUGAGAAGGUGGAUGGAUGUGAUGCACAGGUCUGUCUUGUCUGGUGUCACUACUUGAAGCAGGAAACCAACUUAGUAGACCUCCAGUGUUUCAAUGACUUUUUUCGCUUAAACCUCAGAACUGCACAUUUGGUAGGUGCAGUCUCAUUUUCCUCGUCCGUUUUUUUUUUUUUUUUUUUUUUAGGUCAUCAUUAGGAACUUCUCAGGUUACUUUUACUUCUAGAAUUGUAUAUUCUGUUAUCUUUAAUCAAUGCCAUAUAAUAAUACAAAUGCUGUCUCUAAUAGUUAAUAUAACUAAUGCAUUUCUUCUCUAUAAUAUAUAUUCUUUAAACAUUUAUUUUUCCUUUUAUCUAUUUUUUUCACAAGACCUAAAGUCUUAAAUUUUCUUUUGUCGCUUGACACUAGAAUAAACUCCUUUCAGGCAUAUGUAUUAGCCAAAGCUGCAUAAUUCACUCCUUACUAUUCGUAUAUUAUUUAGAAAUUAAGUGGUAAAAAUGUGUUUUUAAACCAGUGAUCAAUCAGUAUCAACUAAUAUUAAGUGUAUGUUACAAUCAAUAAUCUGUUGUUCCAAGAAUAGCAGAAUAUAUGUAUCUAUAUACAUUCCUAUAUGUGUAUGCAUGUGGGGGGGUAUAUAUAUGUGUGUAUAUAUAUAUAUUCUGCUGUGUGUGUGUGUAGUUGACCUAAGAUACCAUCCUCAUUUAACAUCUGCUUAAGAAGAAAAUAUAAACUUGAAAAUAUUAAUGACAAAAUCAGAUAGCAAUAUAAGACAUAUUCCUAGGCUUUAUAUGGUUAAUUGUAAAAUAAAUGGAAAAUUCAGUGGAAAGGAAGAAGUCACUGGAUUGAUAUGUCUGAGAAGGCUUCACUCAAAUUUCCUUCACUGAGCCCAUGGUUAGGAAGUACCUGCUACAGGAAGGGCCUUGUGCAAGUGCUGGAGAGAAUAUGGAACUUGAGCUAGACUUCUGGGAAGGUGAUUUAAAUGGCAGGAACAGCACAAGCAAAGGUAUGGUGUAAGGAGUUAAUAUAGUAGGUCUAAUAGCCCUCUCCUUGCAUUUCUCCAAGGAAACCUGGACCAUGACUGAUGAUUGCCAACCCCUGGGCAUGUAGUCCUUGGAAGUUUAUGUUAACUUUGAUUAUUUUUUGUUGUACACACCUGGAGCAAUGGGCCAUGGUUUACCAGCUUGUCAGAACUGUUUUGCACAAACAUCAAGAUUGCUGAUGUGCACUAUUUCAUUGUUUAGGUUCUGAGUUUCAGUUACCUUGAAUGGUCAUCUACCAGAAUGUGCAUAUGUGAUCAGACUUCCACAAAUGCCUUGGACCCUGAGAUUUGAAUCAGCUCCCCUGAGUGGAGAUGUUCUGUACAUGUCUUCUGCUAGAAAGAAGGCACAUCUUAUGUAGCCCUUGAUGGGGAAGGACUGAAAAGCCUGAAUCUGAUCUCUCUGGAUUCUGCCCAAUGCAUAUCUUUUCUUUUGCUGCUUUUGCUCUGAACCUUUUGCUGUAAUAAACCUUAGCCAUGAAUAUAACCUGAUUUGAGCCUUAUAAAUCCUUCUAAUGAAUCACUAAUCAUGGGGCAAUCAUGGGAUCCCUGAAACACAUCGCAUGUGACAAGAUUCAAAAUGCACAUAAAUUUCUUUGGAUAGAGACCAUAUAUGUUUAGAUAUGGUAGAAAAAUUCAACUCUUAAUUCCUGAAUGUAGGUAAAGUGUAUGUGGGUGUUCAUUGUUAUUAUUCUUCAAAGUUUCCUGUAGGUUUGAAAUAUUUCAAAGUAUAAAUUU
rnacentral:lncRNA from 1 species